rnacentral:rRNA from 1 species
UUUGCCUACGGGACGCAGCAGUGAGGAAUAUUGGUCAAUGGUCGGGAGACUGAACCAGCCAAGCCGCGUGAGGGAUGAAGGUACAGAGUAUCGUAAACCUCUUUUGCCGGGGAGCAAGCCUGAGCACGUGUGCCCAGGCGGAGAGUACCCGGAGAAAAAGCAUCGGCUAACUCCGUGCCAGCAGCCGCGGUAAUACGGAGGAUGCGAGCGUUAUCCGGAUUUAUUGGGUUUAAAGGGUGCGCAGGCGGGCUGUUAAGCCGGCGGUAAAAAUUCAGGGCUCAACCCUGUCGAGCC